AUUGAACGCUGGCGGCAUGCCUUACACAUGCAAGUCGAACGGCAGCGCGGACUUCGGUCUGGCGGCGAGUGGCGAACGGGUGAGUAAUACAUCGGAACGUACCCUGUUGUGGGGGAUAACUAGUCGAAAGAUUAGCUAAUACCGCAUACGACCUGAGGGUGAAAGUGGGGGACCGGAAACGGCCUCAUGCAGCAGGAGCGGCCGAUGUCUGAUUAGCUAGUUGGUGGGGUAAAGGCCCACCAAGGCGACGAUCAGUAGCUGGUCUGAGAGGACGAUCAGCCACACUGGGACUGAGACACGGCCCAGACUCCUACGGGAGGCAGCAGUGGGGAAUUUUGGACAAUGGGGGCAACCCUGAUCCAGCAAUGCCGCGUGUGUGAAGAAGGCCUUCGGGUUGUAAAGCACGUUUGUCCGGAAAGAAAUCGCGCUGGUUAAUACCUGGCGUGGAUGACGGUACCGGAAGAAUAAGCACCGGCUAACUACGUGC
rnacentral:rRNA from 1 species